rnacentral:rRNA from 1 species
UCAGACGAUGCGUCAUGCAUAUCAAUAAGCGGAGGAAAAGAAACUAACAAGGAUUCCCUUAGUAACGGCGAGUGAAGCGGGAAGAGCUCAAAUUUGAAAUCUUCAAGGUUUUACCUUGACGAAUUGUAGUUUAAAGAAGUGUUUUCUGCUGAAGUUUCGGUAAAAGUUCUUUGGAAUAGGACAUCAUAGAGGGUGAGAAUCCCGUAUUUGACCAUUAUUUUCAGCUUUGUGAUACACUUUCAAAGAGUCGGGAUUGUUUGGGAGUGCAGUCCCAAAAUGGGAUGGUAAAUUUCAUCUAAGGCUAAAUAUUGGCGAGAGACCGAUAGCGAACAAGUACCGUGAGGGAAAGAUGAAAAGAACUUUGAAAAGAGAGUUAAACAGUACGUGAAAUUGUCAAAAGGGAAGCGUUUGACACCAGUGUUGUUUUCUCGAAAAUCAAUUAAAAAUGGCUCGAUUUUGUAUUGCUGAGACCUUAAAAGCUCACUGUACAUUUUUCGUGUCUUUUUUAAUGCACUUUUCGUUUAACAAGUCAACAUCAGUUUCUUUUGUUGUAAAAGGGUCAUUGGAAGGUGGCUUUCUUUUCGGAGAAAGUGUUUAUAGCCUUUGGCCUCUGCAAUCGGAGAGACUGAGGUCUGCAGCGUAGACUCUUCGGGGUUAGAUACAUUUGUGCUAAGUUAUAGCUUUUUAUAGACAACUUGUUGACUAUAAUUAGUCUUGUAGCUUACUCGCUUAUGCUAUUUUACCUACGCUUAGGAUGUUGACUGAUAUGUAGUCGUA